rnacentral:rRNA from 1 species
CCUACGGGAGGCAGCAGUGGGGAAUAUUGGACAAUGGGCGGAAGCCUGAUCCAGCCAUGCCGCGUGUGUGAAGAAGGCCUUUUGGUUGUAAAGCACUUUAAGCGAGGAGGAGGCUACUAGUAUUAAUACUACUGGAUAGUGGACGUUACUCGCAGAAUAAGCACCGGCUAACUCUGUGCCAGCAGCCGCGGUAAUACAGAGGGUGCGAGCGUUAAUCGGAUUUACUGGGCGUAAAGCGUGCGUAGGCGGCUGAUUAAGUCGGAUGUGAAAUCCCUGAGCUUAACUUAGGAAUUGCAUUCGAUACUGGUCAGCUAGAGUAUGGGAGAGGAUGGUAGAAUUCCAGGUGUAGCGGUGAAAUGCGUAGAGAUCUGGAGGAAUACCGAUGGCGAAGGCAGCCAUCUGGCCUAAUACUGACGCUGAGGUACGAAAGCAUGGGGAGCAAACAGGAUUUAGAUACCCUGGUAGUCCAUGCGUAACGAUGUCUACUAGUCGUUCGGGUUCGUUUGUAGUACGUUUAGUUGGUCGGCGAGCGUAACCGACGAGUAAGUAAGACCGCCCGUCGGGGAGGGUACGGUUCGGCGAAGACGUAAAACCGUAACGAAAGUAGUAAGUUAGGUUACGGCGGUUGGAGGACGUUGCCGACGGGACGACGACGACGGGGAGGGUUAGGG